UGGUGGAGUGAUUUGUCUGGUUAAUUCCGUUAACGAACGAGACCUCAGCCUGCUAAAUAGUCUGGCUAUCUUCGGAUGGUAAAGACUUCUUAGAGGGACUAUCGGUGUCUAGCCGAUGGAAGUUCGAGGCAAUAACA
rnacentral:rRNA from 1 species